CGCGAUGAAGGAAAAUAUAAUUUUCUUCGGCUCAGAAGUAAUAUUUCUCUUCGUGGCAUAAUACUUGAGCAUCUCGACGGCUUUUCCAGCUAUUUUAUCCGAUAGUUUCGAUUGCCUAGGGGCUACAUGAAACUCAAAACGCGAGAACUCGGGGACCCAGUGUAAUGCAAGCACGCUGCAGCGUCGUACAAUACGCAUGUUGAUCGUUGCAGUUGGGGAGAUAGGGGGAACCGGGUGUGCACAGGCGGCGAGCUCAAACGCUCAAAUGAAGUGCUUCGGUAGUUUACGCAGAACUUAUGGUUAUGCAGUGCCACGCAGCGAAGUAUGUAAGAAGUCAUUAAUGAAAUAUAGUACUUCCAAAGAAACUUCUUCAGGGUAUUGCGUGAAUAUGGUUAAAAACUUCGACUACGAGAAUUUCUUGUGUACGUUACUCCUCCCUAACGAUAUUCGGACUUCUGCUUUUGCAAUCCGUGCAUUUAACAUCGAGACAGCAAGAGUUCAGGAUAGCGUGAGUGAUCCACGUAUUGGUCAAAUGAGGCUGAAAUUCUGGGAAGAAACCAUUGAUAAAAUUUACAAUGGACAUGUGCCAAAGCAACCAGUUGCUAGUGAACUUUAUCGUGCUAUCAAGAGGCAUACAUUAUCUAAAAGGCACCUGAAACGGCUCAUAUUGGCACGCUCCAACCAUUUUUCUACUUCAUUUCUGAGUCUUGAUGAAAUGGAGUCAUAUGCAGAAGAGUCAACAUCUCCAGUAUACUAUAUGCUUCUGGAAGCACUGGGCAUUAAAAACAUUCAUGCUGAUCAUGCUGCUAGUCACUUAGGAAAAGCGCAGGGUCUUACCAACAUGGUUCGUUCGGUACCUCAUUGUGCUGAGAGAAGACUAGCACCACCAUUACCACAAGAUGUUAUGAUGGAGAAAGGUGUCUCUCAGGAAGAGAUUAUCCGUGGAAGCAGCUCAGACAACACUCGUGAUGUAAUCUUCACAGUAGCUGCCAGAGCCUCACAACAUCUUGAAAAGGCUCGUUCUAUUAAAACCAAUCUUCCAGAACCUGCCUUCAGGAUAUUUUUGCCUGGUGUACCUGUUGGUCAAUACCUAGAGAAAUUGAGACUACUUCAUUUUGAUGUAUUUGAUGCCAAAUUGCAGAGGAGAAAUAGUCUCCUUCCGCUUGCCUUGUACUGGAACAGAUUCAGAAUGAAGUUCUGAAAAGUGAGACAUCAUUUUAGUUCAUAAACACUUGCUGUGCCUUCCCACUCUUUCCUGCAGUAAGCCAUCAGUGUGUUUUCAUUGCCCUGCAACUUACCAUCUAGUUGUUGUGAGCCUUGCAAGACAUUUCCGGCCCAUGCGCCUCAAAGUGCAUCAUUUCAUAUAGAGGUGGCUGCAUAGCACAUGACUGAAGAAAUAUGGGAGGAAUUUCAUUGGCAGGAGAGGGACGAAGCAGAUGAAGAUUUAGUAGGUACGGAUAUAGAUGAGGAUCACGAGGAGAACAGUGAGCAUACUUCGGACAGCGAACAAGAACAAAGUGAAUCCGAUGUUGAGUGUCCGGAGGGUAGAUUUUUUGUAUGCAAAGACAAGUCUAUAAAAUGGAAAAAGCAAAACCUGGCCAGAGCCUCAGAACUUGGAAACAUAUCAUAACCCAUUACCUGGAAGAAAGGCAGUACUUCAGAAGUGUAGUGUCUGUCAUCAAUUCAUUUUCUAUUUUGUUUAAUGAACGUAUAGUGACCUCAGUUGUAAAUUGCCCAAUGAUGUACAUAAAGUCGGUAAAAAAUAAACAUUUCAGAGAGUGGGAUGCCAAACAUAUGACGAGAGAAGACUUACUAGUAUUUUUGGGGCUACUCUAUUUGGCUGGGCUUCAAAAAGCCACUCAUGUGAAUUAUGAGGAUUUGUGGGAAGACAUAAAAAUCUUUUGUCUCACAAUUUCAUACAAAUGAUUUUUGUUUUUACUUAGAGUCAUAAGAUUUGAUGACAUUCACACCUUUAAAACUAGAAGAAAACAUAAAUUAGCACCUGUGAGGGACUUUCCCACUGUGAUAAAUAAUAAUUGUAAAAAUGCGUUCAGCCCAAGUGAAUAUUGUACAAUUGUAGAACAGCUUCUACUUUCAGGGGAUAAUAUCCAUUUAGACAUUAUUUACUGCAAAAAGCCAAAAGGUAUGGAAUAAAGGUUUUUGCACUAAUAGACGCUAGAAUGAAUUAUUUCGUCAACUUUGAAAUAUAUGAAAACACACAACUGAAGGAACUGUUUCGUCAAGACAGUGCUGUAUUAUCAGUUGUGAACAGCUCGACUGAACAUGGUGCAGGUACCAACAGGAAUAUAACUUGUGACAAUAUUAGUUACCAACUAGCUCAGCUUCUCCUUACAAGAACGUUAACAGUUGUGGGUACCUUAUGAAAAAAUAAGCAUGAAAUUCGACGAGAAUUUCAGCCUAGUAAGUAUAAAACAAAGUAUAGCUGUGUUUCUGGAUUCACUAAAGAUGUGACUUUAGUAUCGUACAUUACUGCCAAAAAUAAGACGGUAAUAGUAUUAUCAACAAUGUAUCGUGAUGAUGCCAUUGACACAUCAACUGAUGUUAAAGUGAAGUCUAAAAUAAUCACCUUAUAUAAUGGUACCAAAGGUGAGGUCGAUACAUGCGAUCAGUUAUGGAUGAAUUUUAAUGUUGGUAGACAAACAAGAAGGUGGCCACCAGCUAUAUUUUUCCAUUUUCUAAAUGUAAUGCAUACAAAUGCACAUUUGCUGUAUAACAUUGACCCGAAAAAUGAUUACCUGCUAUGAUGAAAAUUGCCAAGGGACUUGGGAGGAACAUUGGUUGAAAAGCACAUCAGAAUGUGACAGUGUAUAGAUAAAUUACAUUUGGGAGAGGAUAUAAAACUGUCAGUAGUGGUCCAUGAUGAUCCUGGACCUUCUCGUGGGAAGUGCAAAAUGUGCCUCCGAAAAGAUGGCAAAAAAAAAAAAAAUCUUCACAGAAAUGCUCAAGAUGCAAACCCUUUGUUUGCAAAACUCGUGCAAACAUAAUAUGUGUGAUGAUUUAGAAUGAACUGUAUUAGGAGUAUUAGUGCAAACUCCCCAUACUACAUUUUUGUUACUGUUAUUUCCAAGUUUAUUCAAUAAAAUUGUUCAAAUUUGUUGUUUUU